AACGAACGCUGGCGGCAUGCCUAACACAUGCAAGUCGAACGAAGGCUUCGGCCUUAGUGGCGCACGGGUGCGUAACGCGUGGGAAUCUGCCCUUGGGUUCGGAAUAACAGUUAGAAAUGACUGCUAAUACCGGAUGAUGACGAAAGUCCAAAGAUUUAUCGCCCAGGGAUGAGCCCGCGUAGGAUUAGGUAGUUGGUGGGGUAAAGGCCUACCAAGCCGACGAUCCUUAGCUGGUCUGAGAGGAUGAUCAGCCACACUGGGACUGAGACACGGCCCAGACUCCUACGGGAGGCAGCAGUGGGGAAUAUUGGACAAUGGGCGAAAGCCUGAUCCAGCAAUGCCGCGUGAGUGAUGAAGGCCUUAGGGUCGUAAAGCUCUUUUACCAGGGAUGAUAAUGACAGUACCUGGAGAAUAAGCUCCGGCUAACUCCGUGCCAGCAGCCGCGGUAAUACGGAGGGAGCUAGCGUUGUUCGGAAUUACUGGGCGUAAAGCGCACGUAGGCGGUUAUUCAAGUCAGAGGUGAAAGCCCGGGGCUCAACCCCGGAACUGCCUUUGAAACUAGAUGACUGGAAUCUUGGAGAGGUCAGUGGAAUUCCGAGUGUAGAGGUGAAAUUCGUAGAUAUUCGGAAGAACACCAGUGGCGAAGGCGACUGACUGGACAAGUAUUGACGCUGAGGUGCGAAAGCGUGGGGAG
rnacentral:rRNA from 1 species